ACGAACGCUGGCGGCGUGCUUAACACAUGCAAGUCGAACGGUAAGGCCCCUUCGGGGGUACCCGAGUGGCGAACGGAUGAGUAACACGUGAGCAACCUGCCCUUGACUCUGGAAUAACAGUUGGAAACAGCUGCUAAUACUGGAUAUUCAUCGUCUCCUUCCUGGGGGGUGGUGGAAAGCUCCGGCGGUCAGGGAUGGGCUCGCGGCCUAUCAGCUUGUUGGUGAGGUAAUGGCUCACCAAGGCUUCGACGGGUAGCCGGCCUGAGAGGGCGACCGGCCACACUGGGACUGAGAUACGGCCCAGACUCCUACGGGAGGCAGCAGUGGGGAAUAUUGCACAAUGGGCGCAAGCCUGAUGCAGCAACGCCGCGUGCGGGAUGACGGCCUUCGGGUUGUAAACCGCUUUCAGUAGGGACGAAGGGUGACUGACGGUACCUACAGAAGAAGGACCGGCUAACUACGUG
rnacentral:rRNA from 1 species